UACGAUUAAAAUAUGUUAGGGAAAUUACUAAGACAAUCCGGCAUCGCUACGGAUUAAUUUUUACUACGAAUUGUCGGAAUCUGUAGAAAUUACGCUGACAUUUGACGUAUUCAUUCAACUUUUGUCCAACGGAGCAUUGUUGCGAGUUUUCUGCGACCGUUGGAAGUGUUUGUGGAUUUCGGACAACUUUCGAAUAAUUAUUAGUGUUUAUUGCAAAGAAAACUAUUUAAAGUAGUUUUUUAACUAUCUACAAUGGUUCGCCAGUGCAUAGUUUGUUAAAGGUGGACUAUUCUAACUCCUGAUUGAUAUUUGGACGUUUUGGAACCCUUUACACUUUUACCCACACUUACCUAUACACCCACACACACAAUUCACAGACGAGUACAUAUCUGGUGUUUUAAAUAGAGGAAAAUAAACCUUGGAAAAUUUUUCCUUUAGCGUUCCUAUAAAUACUGAGCUUAGACAAUGAUCGAUUUCACUCUUGAAUUUGAAAAAUCAAACUAACGUGUGUCCAAAUUUGUUCUGAUGAUUUUGAUAAGAGCAAUAUUAUGAUCGCCGAAUUAACUGAUCGAAGGCAAAUAAGACCAAAUUCUGAGCCUCAAAUAGAUAGUACCAUUUUUGCUGGGGCUUUAUCAUACAGGUUUUCUUCUAGUUUGUACCGCCACCCAAAAAAUGUUUUAGGUAAAUGAACCUCCAGACCAGCUGAGGGACUAGAGAAGGUCCCUACCUAGUCCCGCGAUUGGCAGUUUGGCUGGCCCCUCAAAUUUGAUUUUGCCUAAAAUCAUACAAGAUAAACUAGCCCUUCUCAAGAAGCCCUUCCCUCAAAACAACAGAAACGGCAUUGGAAAAAAAAGUUGGAAUUAACCAGUAUGUGCUCUUUCAUAGUAAGACAAUCCUCAUCUUCUGAUCUCUCAAUAGUUGGAUAUUUAUUAUCUCAAGAAAGUCGUCAAAGUAUCAGAAAAAGAAAGAAGUAUGUUAAUGAGGCAUUAUAAUGAUAUUAUGUAGAAAUUUAAGUCUUGUAAAAAUUUGGAAACAAAGAAAAUGAAAAAUACAUACUUUACAAAUAGGUCUUAGAAGAUUGAAAAAUAAAAUAAUAUCAAUGCAUCAGUUAAUUGAUUACUUAAAAGAAAAAUCUUUGAUAAGUGAAUCAACUGAAUUGACCAUUCAGGCUUCCUUAGCUGAACCAGUACAAAGUAUUUUUGAAAGAAUGUUAAAAGGACCUGCCACACAAAAAUCCAAUCUUCUGCUACUAUCCUUUGCUUUAACAUUGUCAUUUUAUUCGCCGAAAACAUAGAAUUUUAUAAGGGAUACAUAAACUGGCCCAGAGUUUUCUUUAGGAGGCCUCUAAAUUCCAUUUAGUUUUCAACAAUAUUUUUGAUAUUUUUAACUCUCAGAAUGGAUUUACAAAAUAUUCAUAUAAAAAAUUAUCAAAAAUAUAAGAACAACAUACUUUUAAUAAUUUUGGAAUAAUUAAAUUGUAUAUUAUUGGACUUACUUUAAAAGAAAGGUCAACCAUAGUCACAAAGAAAAACGGGAUUUUUGGGCUUUCUAAUUUGUAUGGAAAGCUUACAACGUCCACGUAUACAAAAAGCAAAAACGGAAGGUAAUAAUAUAUUCAAUCAAUGUAAAAAUGAGAAGAGCAUUGUGGGAUUAAAAAACAUGAUGGUGAUAGAUUGUCUAAAACUAAUAGGAGUACUGGUAUUUCUCAAAACAAAACUGAUGGUUACAAAGAAACAGAAGAAAAGGGAAGAUAUUAAUUUACUAGACAAAAGGCUGUUCUUUUGUAAUAUAGAGAUGGGCAAAAUUCAAAGUAGUAGUAUUCAAAACAGAGAAGAACAUAAGCUAAAGAAAGAAAGGGUUGUUUGACAUUGAAAUAAAAAAGAACAGUAAAAUUCUCAAAGAGAACUUAUUUAAUAAUUUUAAUUAGUGUUUAUAUUGUAAUGUAAAAAAUGUAAUGUAUGUUAUUUCUGAAUAAAAGACAUUUAAUAAUGA